rnacentral:lncRNA from 1 species
AGAAGCGGACUCAAAGGCCGGAGUCUAAGGGCCUACCUAAGGGUAGGGGAGUGGGAAGAAGACCAGGGCCGUCGUUAUUAGGCCACACAGGCCUGGCACUGAGGGAAAAAGGGGAAUUUCCCGAGGGGAGUCCUGUGGGGAUGGGGAAAUCUUUGGAGGAAUCCAGUUAUUCGAGAAGGACUUCCCCACCCCACCUGCCUCCUUCAGCCAUCCCAAGCAGCAGCUAGAACUUCUGUAGUUCUUCCUCUGAGUGCCCCGAGCCUGCUGUCUGCCAGAAAGACUCCUAGACUAGAGGAUUGGACAGUAGGGUCAAAACCCUAACCCUUGGUUGACCACCGGCCUUCCCUAUCAGGACGCCCCAUUACCUCCCUUUUCCUCCUGCUUCCCCUGAAAGAGGAGUCUCAGCAGUUAUUUACAAAGAUUUAUUACAGCACGGGAGGGGUUCAGGCCUGGAGUCAGGGAAGAAGGGGAAAGGGGCAGAGCAGCUGGGGGACAAGGAAAACCUGGCGCCCCCCGCUGUGUGCCCCACCGGGGACAUAAACUAGGCGGCAUUCCUGGCAUCAAAGCACAAAACGCAACAAAGAGGUCUCUGCCAGUCCAUCUUCCAGGCACCCAGGAGGAGCAAGGGUGAUUAAGGGAAGAUUCCCAAAAUGUUGAGGCUAUGGAGAAAAACGCCUUAGUCCUGGACCCUGGUAGAAGCCGGUGAGAGAAGUGGUGACUUGGAAUCCUCCAUAGGAAAGUGGGUAGAAAAGGAUCUAAGGGUACCUCAAGGUUCUCAGGACCUCCUUUCCCCAGAUCUUAGGGUCCUGCCCUGUGGGUCUCCUGUGUCCAGGGGAGAGGAUCUGGGGAGUAGAAUUGUGAAGGGCAAAUCCCUGUUCCCGGUUUUCUGGAUUUUCCAAUGUGGGCUGUCUCACAUCCCACCUCCCGCUGGGUGAAUG